AAACUAACAAGGAUUCCCCUAGUAACGGCGAGCGAAGCGGGAAGAGCUCAAAUUUGAAAGCUGGCACCUUCGGUGUCCGCGUUGUAAUCUCGAGACGUGUUUUCCGUGUGGCGCUAUGGACAAGUCCCUUGGAACAGGGCAUCGUAGAGGGUGAAAAUCCCGUACUUGCCAUGGAUGUACCAUGCUUUGUGAUACACGCUCUAAGAGUCGAGUUGUUUGGGAUUGCAGCUCAAAAUGGGUGGUAGACUCCAUCUAAAGCUAAAUAUCGGGGAGAGACCGAUAGCGAACAAGUACCGUGAGGGAAAGAUGAAAAGCACUUUGGAAAGAGAGUUAAAAGUACGUGAAAUUGUCGAAAGGGAAGCGCUUGAAGUCAGCCAUGCUGCUUGAGACUCAGCCUUGCUUUUGCUUGGUGUAUUUCUCGGUAGCAAGCCAGCAUUGGUUUGAGUCGUCGGAGAAGGGUAUGAGAAAUGUGGCAUCCUCGGAUGUGUUAUAGGCUUGUACUGGAUACGACGAUUUGGAUCAAGGAACGCAGUGUGCCUCUGGCGGGUCUUCGGACACCUUCACACUUAGGAUGCUGGCGUAAUGGCUUUAAGCGG
rnacentral:rRNA from 1 species